AAUCAACAUUUAAUUUAUGAGAUAUUUUAUGUAUUUCCUUAUGAAAAUAGGAAAUUUUAAUUAUUUUUUCAUUAAAAUCCCAAAUUUAAAAGGAAUAAAAGAUCAUGGUCAUCCCUUCCUUUCUCUCUCUUAAAAAUAGCUCUUCCUUCUCUCUUCAUAUACUUGCCGCCGCUUUAGGUAUUCGUUUCCGCCGGAGCGUGUGGGCCACCAAAGCCACGGCGUCGGUUUGGCUUUUGGGCUUUGUUUAGUUAGCUAGCUUAGUUUUGUGUGUGAAGAGAUCUCAAGUUUCAGUUCUUUUCUUUACCUGAUUUUCCAUGGUCCAAACCGCGAUGGCUCUAAGCCACUCACGGUCAGUGUCGUGGUGAUCGGUUUGGGCGAUCCAAUUUUUUGGUUUCCUCCCACAGCUUCAAUGAUCGGAUCUAAGGCGAGAUCCGCCCAGGUUUGGGUUCCUCUUACCGGUUCAAGUUUACUUGACAUCUCCAACCAUAGUGAUUUCAAUGGCCCUGCUAGUUUGGCUGAGGUUCCACCGUUCCGUCACUCAUGGUUUUCCAAGGUUUUUCUUCUGAAGACUCUUAAUCACCAAGUGAUUCAAGUUGAUCGGAGUCUUUCUAGGUUGUGGUAUGUUCCCUUGUCGACAACCUGAUAGUUUUUGCGAUCUCGGACUGUUCGGGUAAAAGAAAAUUGAUUUUCUGUGUAAAAUCUUCAAUCUUGUUUAGAUCUGUUUUUAGUUUUUCAUCUGUCUCCCUCUGUUUGGGGCUUAGUUUCCGAGAGUUAAAAGUCCCGCCGGCUAAGUUUCUAAGGGUUAAAGUCCCACUGGCGUUUGUAUUACAACAUGUAUUCCACCCUUAUAUUUCACCUUUGGUUUCUAUAUCAUAAUUAAUUCAGACGAAAAAAGGAAUAAAAGAGCUUAUUCUAGGGUUUAAUAUUA